CUACUAAAAAGUCCCUUAUAGGGGUAAAUUCAGUAAAUAAAUAUACGUCAUCAGGGACCGCCCAUUUGGGGGAGAGCUUUCUGUAUAAAACUGAAGUCAUGUGCUCUUCUGAUUGGUAGAUAAUGUUUGUAAUAAAUAUUUUUUGAUAGAUGGAUAAAAACUAGAGUUGAAAAAAAAUAAAAAAUAAAUGCUGAAUGUACUAAAUUUUUUUACUACAGGGUUGAAAAGUAAUGGGGGUCAGUGAAGGAAUUAAGUGCGAAUCUACAGUGUUUGUAAACAAGGCCAUGUGAAUGCCCAAAAAUGCCGCAUGACCCUAUGUUUUUAUUGUUGCAAAUGAUAGGGCUACAUUUGUACUUUCAUGAAUGAUAUAUGAAAUUUUCUAAUUUCUAAAGUUUUGUCUGUCUAGUUUUGGUGAAGAAACCAUCCUGAUGUUGGGGUAACAGGAAUUUCUGCAGAGUGAUUGUCAAUGACAUUUUGUGAACUUUACAAUUUUGUCUGUCUAGUUUUGGUGAAGAAACCAUCCUGAUGUUGGGGUAACAGGAAUUUCUGCAGAGUGAUUGUCAAUGACAUUUUGUGAACUUUACAAUUUUGUCUGUCUAGUUUUGGUGAAGAAACCAUCCUGAUGUUGGGGUAACAGGAAUUUCUGCAGAGUGAUUGUCAAUGACAUUUUGUGAACUUUACAAUUUUGUCUGUCUAGUUUUGGUGAAGAAACCAUCCUGAUGUUGGAGUAACAGGAAUUUCUGCAGAGUGAUUGUCAAUGACAUUUUGUGAACUUUACAAUUUUGUCUGUCUAGUUUUGGUGAAGAAACCAUCCUGAUGUUGGGGUAACAGGAAUUUCUGCAGAGUGAUUGUCAAUGACAUUUUGUGAACUUUACAAGUAAUUAAAACACAAAUUUAGUAAAAUGAAACAUAAUUGUUGGUUUUUUUUGUAUGAAACUGCUUAAAAAAGCCUUUGAAAAG